GAAACCUCUGAGUAUAUGUAACUCUUGUAACUUCUCUCUUCCAGGUUGGUGGUGGUGGAUCAUCGUUGUGAUAGUGGGUGUUGCAGCACUCACAAUAAUCACUGUGGCUGUCAUCAGACGGAAGAGGACUCAAGGGAAUGAAACGCAGACGGAUGACAACGUGGCUGAUCCUGAAGAUGGUGCUUCCUACGCCUCCAUCAGCUACACCAGGAAGAGCAGCAGGAAAGCCAGGG